GCUGUAAUGGCAGGUCAGCAUACUGCCGUGAAUACGUUCCCGGGCCCUUGUACACACCGCCCGUCACACCAUGAGAGUUGGGAAUACCCGAAGCCUGUGAGCUAACGAAAGAGGCAGCAGUCGAAGGUAGAAUCAAUGAUUGGGGUGAAGUCGUAACAAGGUAGC
rnacentral:rRNA from 1 species